ACGUAGGUGGCGAGCGUUGUCCGGAAUCAUUGGGCGUAAAGAGCGCGUAGGUGGCUUGUCAGGUCUGAUGUGAAAUCUUGGGGCUUAACCCCAAGCGUGCAUUGGAAACCGGCUUGCUAGAGUCUGGGAGAGGAGAGUGGAAUUCCUGGUGUAGCGGUGAAAUGCGUAGAUAUCAGGAGGAACACCGGUAGCGAAGGCGGCUCUCUGGAACAGUACUGACGCUGAGGCGCGAAAGCUAGGGGAGCAAACAGGAUUAGAUACCCUGGUAGUCCUAGCCGUAAACGAUGGACACUAGGUGUCGGGGGUGUCGACUCCCUCGGUGCCGAAGCUAACGCAUUAAGUGUCCCGCCUGGGGAGUACGGCCGCAAGGCUA
rnacentral:rRNA from 1 species